GACGAACGCUGGCGGCGUGCUUAACACAUGCAAGUCGAACGGUGAAGCGCCUUCCUUUUUGGUGGGUGUGGAUGAGUGGCGAACGGGUGAGUAACACGUGAGUAACCUGCCCCCUUCUUCUGGAUAACCGCAUGAAAGUGUGGCUAAUACGGGAUAUUCUGGGUCUGUCGCAUGAUGGGUCUGGGAAAGAUAUUGUUUCGGUGGGGGAUGGGCUCGCGGCCUAUCAGCUUGUUGGUGGGGUGAUGGCCUACCAAGGCGGUGACGGGUAGCCGGCCUGAGAGGGUGGACGGUCACACUGGGACUGAGACACGGCCCAGACUCCUACGGGAGGCAGCAGUGGGGAAUAUUGCACAAUGGGCGCAAGCCUGAUGCAGCGACGCCGCGUGAGGGAUGGAGGCCUUCGGGUUGUGAACCUCUUUCGCCAGUAAAGCAGGCCUGCCUCGUUUGUGGGUGGGUUGACGGUAGCUGGAUAAGAAGCGCCGGCUAACUACGUG
rnacentral:rRNA from 1 species